ACAUAAUCCAAAAUCAGUUAAAUAACAAUUUAACUUUCAACAAAAUAACUUAAACAUUGCAUCUUUGAUAAACAAUUAUCAAGUAAUCACAGCAUUCAAUCAUCAUCAAUAACAUAACAUCUUAGAGUCGACAAAUGUGACAAUGCAACUUAGACACUCUUUAUGCAUGUGGUACCAAUCGUCAUCAUAGUAUUAAUAUACUUUAAUCGUGUGCAGGACAAAGCUC
rnacentral:lncRNA from 1 species